UGACCAACGGUCACUGUGGGAACGAUCAACGGAAAGGGCCGAAUGGCAGCUGGCACGAUGGGAUAAAUAAACCCAGACGAAUUGGUUAGGAAUACGAUCAACGAGAAAUCCAUUGUCGGGUGAUUAAAUACCAUAUGUCCUGAACGAUGGUAACAGCAGGAGUGGUAACUUGUUUGAUAUCUAAAUAGUCUGGUAUCAAACCACACAAUCUCAGAAUAUGGGCGCAUCCAAAUAAAAGAGAGAUAGGAAGGAAUUUCUUUUUUCAGAGGCUAGUGAAUCUAAGGAAUUCUUUACCAGAGGCCUGUUAAGCGAAGGUCGCCUGAAAACAACUGAAGAAAAAUAUUCAUAUGGUGCAACAACUGGAGAGAAGUUACUACACGAUCUUGAAGCUUCCAAGUCAUACAAUGAAUUAAGAAUGCUGCAGAAGUGGUCAGAUGGCUGCUGUUUGUAACCACCCUCCACCUCUGCCCCAACAAACAUUGCAUUGUCAUUUACUGUCAAAUAUGAAUGUAACAGCAAACCUGUGUUUGCUGGUGUCUCAGGACUGAUAUGACUAGAAAUUAUUCACAAUUCUCACCCAUAUCUCAGGAUGGGAGCAGGGGGUAAUAAGGAAAUAUAGCAGAGUAGAUGGGGCACAAUAAGUGAGGGGAGAAGAGGCACAUUGUUCAGUAGAGAAAGGGACCUGGCGAUGAAAGGUGCCUGGGUGACUUUUGAGGGGAGAGGAUAGAGGUUGAAUUGAUGGGGCUGGAUGAGGAGGCAGGGUAAAAAGGGAGCAAUAAAAGUUCACAGGAUCUUAAAAGAUUUUACCUCCAGGUUGAAAAGAUUGCACUAAAAAUGCUCAUACUGUUAUCAAAAGUAGUAUGGAAA